UACUGAACAGUCAUGAGGAAAAU
rnacentral:piRNA from 1 species